rnacentral:rRNA from 1 species
GACGAACGCUGGCGGCGUGCUUAACACAUGCAAGUCGAACGGGAUCCGGGCUUUCGGGUUUGGUGAGAGUGGCGAACGGGUGAGUAACACGUGAGUAACCUGCCCCCUUCUUUGGGAUAACGUCGGGAAAUCGGCGCUAAUACUGGAUAUUCUUGCUGCAUCGCAUGGUGGGGCUUGGAAAGGGGUUCUGGUGGGGGAUGGGCUCGCGGCCUAUCAGCUUGUUGGUGGGGUGAUGGCAUACAAAGGCUUUGACGGGUAGCCGGCCGGAGAUGGUCUCCGGUGGCACUGGGACUGGGACAAGGCCCCUACGGCUGCGGGAAGCAGGAGUGGUGAAGAAUUGACCAUAAGCGCGAGCCAGAUGCACCGACUGCGUGAUAGGGAUGUCCGCCUUCGGGUUGUAAGCCUCUUGCAGUAAGGAACAGUGAUCCUUCUUGUGGGGGGUUUGAGGGUACGUGCAGAAGAAGCGCCGGCUAACUACGUG